ACGAACGCUGGCGGCGUGGAUAAGACAUGCAAGUCGAACGAGAGAAUUGCUAGCUUGCUAAUAAUUCUCUAGUGGCGCACGGGUGAGUAACACGUGAGUAACCUGCCCCCGAGAGCGGGAUAGCCCUGGGAAACUGGGAUUAAUACCGCAUAGUAUCGAAAGAUUAAAGCAGCAAUGCGCUUGGGGAUGGGCUCGCGGCCUAUUAGUUAGUUGGUGAGGUAACGGCUCACCAAGGCGAUGACGGGUAGCCGGUCUGAGAGGAUGUCCGGCCACACUGGAACUGAGACACGGUCCAGACACCUACGGGUGGCAGCAGUCGAGAAUCAUUCACAAUGGGGGAAACCCUGAUGGUGCGACGCCGCGUGGGGGAAUGAAGGUCUUCGGAUUGUAAACCCCUGUCAUGUGGGAGCAAAUUAAAAAGAUAGUACCACAAGAGGAAGAGACGGCUAACUCUGUGCCAGCAGCCGCGGUAAUACAGAGGUCUCAAGCGUUGUUCGGAAUCACUGGGCGUAAAGCGUGCGUAGGCUGUUUCGUAAGUCGUGUGUGAAAGGCGCGGGCUCAACCCGCGGACGGCACAUGAUACUGCGAGACUAGAGUAAUGGAGGGGGAACCGGAAUUCUCGGUGUAGCAGUGAAAUGCGUAGAUAUCGAGAGGAACACUCGUGGCGAAGGCGGGUUCCUGGACAUUAACUGACGCUGAGGCACGAAGGCCAGGGGAGCGAAAGGGAUUAGAUACCCCUGUAGUCCUGGCAGUAAACGGUGCACGCUUGGUGUGCGGGGAAUCGACCCCCUGCGUGCCGGAGCUAACGCGUUAAGCGUGCCGGCUGGGGAGUACGGUCGCAAGAUAAAAACUCAAAGAAAUUGACGGGGACCCGCACACGCGUUGGGGUAGGUGGCUUAAUUCGAUGCAACGCGAAGAACCUUACCUGGGCUUGACAUGUAAUGAACAACAUGUGAAAGCAUGCGACUCUUCGGAGGCGUUACACAGGUGCUGCAUGGCCGUCGUCAGCUCGUGUCGUGAGAUGUUGGGUUAAGUCCCGCAACGAGCGCAACCCCUGUUGCCAGUUGCCAGCAUUAAGUUGGGGACUCUGGCGAGACUGCCGGUGACAAGCCGGAGGAAGGCGGGGAUGACGUCAAAUCAUCAUGCCCCUUAUGACCAGGGCUACACACGUGCUACAAUGGCGUAAACAAAGGGAAGCAAGCCUGCGAAGGUAAGCAAAUCCCAAAAAUAACGUCCCAGUUCGGACUGCAGUCUGCAACUCGACUGCACGAAGAUGGAAUCGCUAGUAAUCGCGAAUCAGCAUGUCGCGGUGAAUACGUUCUCGGGCCUUGUACACACCGCCCGUCACACCAUGAGAGUCGGGAACACCCGAAGUCCGUAGCUUAACCGCUAGGAGGGCGCGGCCGAAGGUGGGUUCGAUAAUUGGGGUG
rnacentral:rRNA from 1 species